UACGUAGGGGGCAAGCGUUGUCCGGAAUCAUUGGGCGUAAAGCGCGUGUAGGCGGCCCGGUAAGUCCGCUGUAAAAGUCCAGGGCUCAACCCUGGAAGGCCGGUGGAUACUGUCGGGCUCGAGUCCGGAAGAGGCGAGUGGAAUUCCUGGUGUAGCGGUGAAAUGCGCAGAUAUCAGGAGGAACACCAAUAGCGAAGGCAGCUCGCUGGGACGGUACUGACGCUAAGGCGCGAAAGCGUGGGGAGCGAACAGG
rnacentral:rRNA from 1 species